GACGAACGCUGGCGGCGUGCUUAACACAUGCAAGUCGAACGGAAAGGCCCUGCUUUUGUGGGGUGCUCGAGUGGCGAACGGGUGAGUAACACGUGAGUAACCUGCCCUUGACUGUGGGAUAACUUCAGGAAACUGGGGCUAAUACCGGAUAGGAGCUCCUGCUGCAUGGUGGGGGUUGGAAAGUUUCGGCGGUUGGGGAUGGACUCGCGGCUUAUCAGCUUGUUGGUGGGGUAGUGGCUUACCAAGGCUUUGACGGGUAGCCGGCCUGAGAGGGUGACCGGCCACAUUGGGACUGAGAUACGGCCCAGACUCCUACGGGAGGCAGCAGUGGGGAAUAUUGCACAAUGGGCGGAAGCCUGAUGCAGCAACGCCGCGUGCGGGAUGACGGCCUUCGGGUUGUAAACCGCUUUCGCCUGUGACGAAGCGUGAGUGACGGUAAUGGGUAAAGAAGCACCGGCUAACUACGU
rnacentral:rRNA from 1 species